GGUGAACGCUGGCGGCGUGCUUAAGACAUGCAAGUCGCACGGCAGUAUGCGGACUGUAGUGGCGCACGUGUGAGUAACGCGUAACUUAUCUACGCCAAAGUCGCGGAGCACGAUUCGAAAUAUUCGCUAAUAAGAUAUGUGCUGUCGGAUUUAGUACUUCCAUAAAAGAAUGAUUGCUUUUGGAUGGAGUUGGGUUCCAUGAGCUAGUUGGAGGGGUAAAGGCCCACCAAGGAGACGACGGAUAGCCGGCCUGAGAGGGUGGCCGGCCACAGGGGCACUGAGACACGGGUCCCACUCCUACGGGAGGCAGCAGUUAGGAAUCUUCCACAAUGGGCGAAAGCCUGAUGGAGCGACGCCGCGUGAGGGAUGAAGGUCUUCGGAUCGUAAACCUCUGAAUCAGGGACGAAAGACACUUCGGUGGGAUGACGGUACCUGAGUAAUCGCACCGGCUAACUCCGUGCCAUCCGCCGCGGUAACAC
rnacentral:rRNA from 1 species